rnacentral:rRNA from 1 species
AUACGUAGGGGGCGAGCGUUGUCCGGAAUGAUUGGGCGUAAAGGGCGCGUAGGCGGCGCGGUAAGUCUGGAGUGAAAGUCCUGCUUUCAAGGUGGGAAUUGCUUUGGAUACUGCCGCGCUUGAGUGCAGGAGAGGUUAUCGGAAUUCCCGGUGUAGCGGUGAAAUGCGUAGAGAUCGGGAGGAACACCAGUGGCGAAGGCGGGUAACUGGACUGCAACUGACGCCGAGGCGCGAAAGUGUGGGGAGCAAACAGGAUUAGAUACCCUGGUAGUCCACACUGUAAACGAUGAAUGCUAGGUGUAGGAGGUAUCGACCCCUUCUGUGCCGCAGUAAACACGGUAAGCAUUCCGCCUGGGGAGUACGGUCGCAAGGUUGAAACUCAAAUGAAUUGACGGGG